UAUUAAUGUUUAUAAAUGAUAAUGUUAUUAAUAUUAAUAAUGUAUAUAUAUAUAUGUGUUAAUAAUAAUGUUUAUAGAUGUGAUUCUAAUUUUUGUUUUAAACCAAAUGAAAGGAAAAAGAAUUUAAAUAAUUAUAAAAAAUGUUGAAAAUAACCACCCUCUGCCAUUAUCGUUGCCUUGCACACAUAGGGGCGUAUCUGAAAUAUUUGUAUUUUACAGGAAAAGCAUUUUAAGAUAUUGGCUCAAGAGAAACUCUCGCUGUGAGAAAACGGUUUGGAAUUUGCGGUUUAAAUUUUGUGCUCAUGUGGGCAUCUAUGAUUAGAACAAUUUGCUAUUAUGAAAUUUUAGAUAAGUUUUCCAAAAAUCAAAAAAAGAUUGAGAUACACGAUAUAUACUUUUUGUGUGCUGUAAUCGAAUUGUUUUCAAAAAGUUACGCCCUUUGCAAAAUAACAACAACCCAUGGUAAUCAAACUUUUAUUCGAAAAAUUAAACAUUUAUUAAGUUUCAAAUUAACCUAGUACUUCAAAGAAAUGAAAAGUGGAAAUCCUGGCCUGGCCUUGAAAAAAAUAAACGUAAGUUCCUUAACGCCCUUAACACUAUUAGCUUUAUAAGAAUAAGUAAACAUUUUUGUUAAUUUUUUAACUUAAAAAAUAUAUCAUAAUAAACCAAAAGUAAAAAACUCUAACAAAAAAACUAAACUGUUUAUAACGUGAAACGAUAAAAAUAGGGACUAAUUCAUGUGGAAGAGAUCUGUAAAAUGACACAUGCUCCUAAGAUCGAAUUACAGGAGUUUCUCCACUGCACAAAGAAAUUUGGUCCUGAUAUUUUAGACAUGGUAUCUUUGGUAUGUUAUCUAAGAUACGCCUUUUUGUCUGCUGUUUUAAAAUGACUUGAUGAGAUACGCCUAAACAGUUUGCGUGCAUAACCCAGGCAAUAAAUUAUAUUGACACUGCAAAAAUUAUCUGGAUUCUGGCAAAGUAAUGGGUUUCUUGGCUUUUUUUUUCUUAUAGCAAAACCGCCGAGUUUAAACUAAUAGUAUUUUUCUUUCCUCAAGAGAUCCAAAGUUUUUCAAUCAAAUCCCCGAUUCAUUUGCUAUAUUAUUAUUUAUUGACAAAGCCGGUAUUCUUGCCGCUAGCAUGGGACUUUUAACAAGAUCUUAUGAUUUUAAAAUAAAAUAUCGAUUUUUGUCAUACGCGAAUAUGAUUAUCUUGUUCCUUUGUAUUAUUGUAUUCCAUCGUUUCGAGUUUCGGGAUUCAGUCAGUGUUCAGUUGGGGUUCGCCGUGCGACAUCACACAAAGUACCGUGUAUAGUGCAUAGUGCGAGGAAUCUACUAAUUUAGUAAUUUACUUUCUUUUGUGAUCUUAACUUUCAAAAAUGGGUGACAUUGACGGAAAUAAUUUUAAGCUGCUACUAGACAAGUGGAACUUGGGCCACUUGUUGCAAAAAUUUGCAGAUGAAAGUGUUGACAUUGAGCUUAUUAAGUAUUUGUCAGUGGAUUAAAUAAAUGUUUUUGCUGCAAAUAUUGGAGAUCGCAUAAGGCUGACAAGAUUAGUGCAAUCAUUGCAGAAUGAAAAGGGGGAAGAGGAUAUUGUUUGCAAUACCAUUCCUUUAAAAAAAACAAAAAAUUACUAGUGAUGUGGCACUGACUGAAGAUGAAUAUAUGCCCAAUUUAUCACCCCCGCCAAUAGAAGAAGAAAGACACUGUCUAAAGACAUUGUACUGACUCUUUAGUCUAGAAGUCUGGGAACGACUAGACUUUUGAGAGACACUGUGAGUUUUUUAUGUAGAUAUAUUUUUAAAAUGCUCUUUAUAGUUUAAUAUAAUAUAAGAAUCCCUAAAGACU
rnacentral:lncRNA from 1 species